AUCGAACGCUGGCGGCAGGCCUAACACAUGCAAGUCGAGCGGAUGAAGGGUGCUUGCUCCUGGAUUCAGCGGCGGACGGGUGAGUAAUGCCUAGGAAUCUGCCUGGCAGUGGGGGAUAACGUCCGGAAACGGGCGCUAAUACCGCAUACGUCCUGCGGGUGCAAGUGGGGGAUCUUCGGACCUCACGCUCUCAGAUGAGCCUAGGUCGGAUUAGCUAGCUGGUGGGGUAAAGGGCUACCAAGGCGACGUUCCGUAACUGGACUGAGAGGAUGAUCAGUCACACUGGAACUGUGACACGGUACAGAGGCAUACGGGAGGCAGCAGUGGUGAAUAUUGGACAAUGGGCGGAAGCCUGAUCCAGCCGUGCCGCGUGUGUGAAGAAGGUCUUCGGAUUGUGGAGCACGUUAAUUUGGGUGGAAAGGCAGUAAGUUUGUGACUUGGUGUUUUGACGGUAACAAGAAAAGAAGCACCGGCUAACUACGUG
rnacentral:rRNA from 1 species